AUUAAGACUUUGGAGACAAAAAAUGCUAUGUUUAUCCACAGGACAAGUUCAGUACUGCCAAGGGCUGUGCGACUUUUCCCAAACAAUGUUGCUCAACUAUGACUUGAAAGGACUACAAUUAGGGGCAGAAGAAUAGUUUAAUUUCAAUGCCCAUUCAAUCCCUGGCUUCU
rnacentral:sRNA from 1 species